ensembl:lncRNA
CUCUUAGUAAUUAAUCUUAGAUGUGUUUUGCGGACCAAGCCGACUCUCCUCAGUGCUCUGUUUUGAACUUCUCGUGAUGUCCUUAUUGUUAUUUUAAAAUCUUAUAAUAUUAAUUACAUCUUCCACUGAAGCGAGAGCUCAUUUGAAAAGUGGGCCUCCAGAAUGACAGGUGCUCAUUUGUGUAUUCAGAGGUCAAGGCAGGGUGCCAGCCUACUAUAUUAAAUAUAUUAUUAUUCAUCAUAAGGCAGAGAAAGUCAAUAAAAUAAGAACACUGCAGUGAUUGCUCUGUGCCUUCUUGAGCUUCAUACAAGUUUACCAGCACAUCCUUUGUCUCACAGAGCAAGUGUUGAUCAGUACAUUGUGCUUCUCUAUGGAUCAUGUAGGAUGUUUCACAACCUUUUUUCGUCCUCUGUAAACAGAAUUUGUGCUUAAACAUUGUCCUUUUCCUCUAUUUCUGUCAUUAAGUGCUCAAUUUCCUUGUCAUUUCCUGUUUGCAUGUGGGAAAGGGCAAAAGAGAGUUACAGAAAUAAGGAAAGUACAUGUCUGUGUGUGCAUGCAAAUUUAUGCUAGAGUGUACAUGGCUCAAGCAUCCAGUCUCCAGCCAUUUUUUGUUGAGAUGACUUCACAGAUCAACAAAGCAUGCCAGAUUUUAAUAGUGCACAGCAAUACUCCACAACUGCAUCGGCCCUCAGAACCCUAUCAUGGAGCUGUUUGGAUGAUCGUGUACUUUAAGGGAAAACCCUAAUGCUGCUGUUACUCCAUCAAGGCCAAUCUGAAUUGCAGUAACACACUGAUUUGCUUUUUGCACUACUUAGUGCAGUUUGGUUCUGUUCUUUCAGGAUGAACAGCUGGAAUGAGAAUCGAUUCUGAACUAUUCGGUUCUGCUCUUUAAAUCAUAAAAUGUAAUAAAUUGUUAACAUAAUGGCUUUUCAGUGUCCUCAGACACCACCUCUUUGGCAGGAUAGUGUCGAAAAAUAUAUUUUUGUUCCCUAUUGUCGUCGUACCUGCAGUAUGUCUUUAGUCUCCGAGCUCUGCUGCUGCCUAUUAUAAUAGGUGAGGUCCUUCCCAGAUGUCACCACCACUUUUUACUGGGCUCAGAGCAGUUUUGCCAUUUCUUCAUUAUACUAAAAUAGAGCAAAACUGGACCAGUACAGGGAAGCUUCUAUCCAGAACAUUUUAAUAAAAAUGAGAGUCUGAAUAAGAGGUGACUUAAAAGCAGAAUAUCAAAUGACCUGAUUCCUCACCUGUACAGGAAGCAGAUAAUUGUGCAAAGAGACUCUCAUAUAGCUAUGUUAUUAUUAAAGUUCUCGUUUUGUCAUCAGGUUUACAAAUCGGUUAUUUCAGAAUUAGAAAUGAUUCAUUUUUAAAUGUUUUUGUUUAAUGUUGCUCCCUUGCUUGUUAUCUGUUUUUAGUUAAUUUUACUGUGAAUUUGUGCCUUUUGUCAUUUUAUCUUCUGAACUACAUGGAGAUGUGAAUAAAAUAAAUAUGGAAAAAAA